UACGGAGGAUGCAAGCGUUGUCCGGAUUUAUUGGGCGUAAAGAGCGUGUAGGCGGCCAGAUAGGUCUGCUGUGAAAACUCGAGGCUCAACCUCGAGCUGUCGGCGGAAACCAUUUGGCUAGAGUCCGGAAGAGGAGAGUGGAAUUCCUGGUGUAGCGGUGAAAUGCGCAGAUAUCAGGAAGAACACCUAUGGCGAAGGCAGCUCUCUGGGACGGUACUGACGCUGAGACGCGAAAGCGUGGGGAGCGAACAGG
rnacentral:rRNA from 1 species